rnacentral:rRNA from 1 species
UACGAAGGGGGCUAGCGUUGUUCGGAAUUACUGGGCGUAAAGCGCGCGCAGGCGGCUAUCCAAGUCAGUGGUGAAAGCCCGGAGCUCAACUCCGGAACUGCCAUUGAAACUGUUUAGCUUGAGGACGAGAGAGGUGAGUGGAAUUCCCAGUGUAGAGGUGAAAUUCGUAGAUAUUGGGAGGAACACCGGUGGCGAAGGCGGCUCACUGGCUCGUAUCUGACGCUCAGGCGCGACAGCGUGGGGAUCAAACAGG